CCUUGUUUCAAAGGUAUGACACAAGGUAACGUGUAAGCCAAGGCACCCAGGCCAGUUUCCGUACAUGGACAGUUAGAGCAGGUGGCUAUCCCUUUCACCCUGGCAUUUCAUCAACCAGAGGAGAAAAAAAAAAAAAGACAUCGUAAAGCGAGAGAAGCCCCUUAUGGGUCUUUCAACUCUCACAUCUAUUUAGACGCAAUUGGAGCCCCACAAGGGACACCAGAUCAAUUUAAAGCUUGAAAUCAAAUAGUUACAGGAUUUAAGUCAAUAUUUUGGUAGAUGACAGUCAAUAAAAAUGUAGAUUAGAUAAACUACAUCCAUUCCAACCAACAGCAACGAGCUUUUCAUGAGUCAAAAAGAAAAACUCAUGUCAGCCCCAGCCCCGAGGCUACCUGACCUGACAAAACUCUUUACACUCUAUGUGUCAGAAAGAGAAAAAAUAG
rnacentral:lncRNA from 10 species